CUACUUCUUACAACUAUAGCACUGUGUGGUGCUCAUAUCACGUCCCUUUCCCUUACUAUGAGCAACAUAGGCAACUGAGAUAGGAUUAGAAGAAACACGUGCCUGCUCCAUAAUAUUUUGAGUAUUAAGACGUUGUUCCUCAUGUAAGAGUUCUCCAAAACAUGCCUCCAAAGUUGGAACAUGAUCUCUAUUUACUAGAGAGGCACGAACAGAUUCAAAAUCAGACCUUAAUUUCAUCAGAAAUUGGUCUCUUUGGCUGGUUUUGUGUAUGUGUUGUACUGCCUCCAUUCCUGCCUCCAACCCUUCUGCAGAGACCUUGGCUGUAACAAGGUCUGAGUAAUCAUUCCACAAAGUCAGGAAACCAAAGUAAUAAUCUUGAAUAGAUAGGUCUCCUUAGGUAUAGUUAGCGAUAGCCAACUCAAGCUGGAAACACCUAGCAUUGUUGUUUUGGUUAUAGACUUGCUUGAGAUAAUCCCACAUAGCCUUUGCAGACCUUUGGGGACGCAAAGCAAGAAUCAGAUGUGGUUCCAUAGAACCAAGAUCCACGACAUGAUCUGGUUAUCUUUGGCAGCCCAAGCUGCCUUGUCAGCAGCAGUAGAACCUCUAUUGUUGCUCCCAUCUAUAUGACCCCAGAGUUGUUUUCCUUUGAGAAAUGUUUCCAAUUGAAACUCCCAGGCAGCAUAAUUUUUGCCAGUGAAUCUGACACAAACAUUAUCUGACUUCUCCAUAAUUUUUUGAGGCUAUGACUGGAAAAAAUAUAUAUUUCUUAGACUAUGGCUCUAAUACCAUAUCAAAAUGGUUCGAAUUGUCUUCUCUUCUGAGAAGGUCUUUCAUUUAUAUAGGCAAAAUUAAUCAGUAUACAAGGAAACUUAAA
rnacentral:lncRNA from 1 species